GCUUGAAGUGAUGGUGGAGGAAAUAGCCGCCAGGAAAAGGUUGCUGUUGGGGAGACUUGAGACCAAAAAGAGAGGAUGGGCGAGAGUGGCCGAGUCGGUCUCUGCCUUCGGGGGUAUGGCAAGGGACAGUGACGCCGUAAAAAAGAAGUGGUCCGACAUCAAGUCGGCUGCUAAGAAGAAGGGAGCUGAGAGACCGUUCAUGUGGACCAGCUGGAGGAGAAGGUGUCGUCCAUCAUAGAUAUGGUGGUAGAGGUACUGCGUGACCGGUUGGUCAUAGCUCCUAAGGUACUGAACCCCUGCCUGAGUGAUGACACACAGGUCCACGUUACUGCCAGAGCCCAAGUCACAGAAAAUCCCAGCAGCAAUGGCAUCCCGCACCAGCUUUUUAGCCUCUUCCAGCUGAGCAAGAGACAGAUAAGACAGACUCACUCAUGCUCUCUCACCUGAAGAGCAUCUGUUUCAGUUGUCGGGUAACCAUGACAACAAGGGGAGGACGUCCUGUGCUGAGUGAGUGCAGCUCCACAUUGGAUGACAUCAUCUGAGUGGUGACUUCAGCAUCUGCAGCCACACCUGCUCCACAACAGCUACAAUAAAAAUUGAGAUUAGUGGGUGAAACAUGGUGGUUCAAAUAGACAUCAACAAAAGCCCCAGUCUGUGCAUACCAUUGUACAGGGGCUGAUGCUCAACUACAUAUGGGUUAUACAAGCUACACUAUUAUACUGUACAAGGUGUAUUCUUUGUGGCACUUACUAGAUGUUGGGAGCAAUGUAGUGGAUCUUCAUGCAAUUCUUGUCAGCUACCACCAUGUCAUCAGUGGCUCUUGUGUCAGCUCCAAGUAUCACCCCAUCCUGUGGCAGGAGGAAACGCAAACUAUAAUCAUACUUUGUGCUGAGCUCAAUCCUGAGACCACUACAUCACAGUAAACAGAAAAUAUAUAAUGA